AAGACAGAAACAUGGGGGCAGAAAUUUACUUAAAGAAAUAAUAGAUGAAAACUUCCCAAAUCUGGGAAGGGAAACAUAUAUCCAGAUUCAGAAGGCA